GACGAACGCUGGCGGCGUGCUUAACACAUGCAAGUCGAACGGUGAAGCGAGUGCUUGCACUCGUGGAUCAGUGGCGAACGGGUGAGUAACACGUGAGUAACCUGCCCAUCACUCUGGGAUAAGCUCUGGAAACGGUGUCUAAUACUGGAUACGACCAACCCUUGCAUGGGGUGUUGGUGGAAAGAUUUAUCGGUGAUGGAUGGACUCGCGGCCUAUCAGCUUGUUGGCGGGGUAAUGGCCCACCAAGGCGACGACGGGUAGCCGGCCUGAGAGGGUGACCGGCCACACUGGGACUGAGACACGGCCCAGACUCCUACGGGAGGCAGCAGUGGGGAAUAUUGCACAAUGGGCGAAAGCCUGAUGCAGCGACGCCGCGUGAGGGAUGACGGCCUUCGGGUUGUAAACCUCUUUCAGCAGGGAAGAAGCGAAAGUGACGGUACCUGCAGAAGAAGCACCGGCUAACUACGUG
rnacentral:rRNA from 1 species